CAGGUUAUACCUGAUUGUGGCACAGAUCAGCAUGUAGUAACACUGGUGGAUUGUGUGUGUCCUGAUUGAACAGGUUACAUGUGAUUGUGGCACAGGCCAGCAUGUAGUAACACUGGUGGAUUGUGUGUGUCCUGAUUGAACAGGUUACACCUGAUUGUGGCACAGACCAGCAUGUAUUAACACUGGUGGAUUGUGUGUGUCCUCAUUGAACAGGUUACUCCUGAUUGUGACACAGGCCAGCAUGUAGUAACACAGGUGGAUUGUGUGUGUCCUGAUUGAACAGGUUACACCUGAUUGUGACACAGGCCAGCAUGUAGUAACACUGGUGGAUUGUGUGUGUCCUGAUUGAACAGGUUACACCUGAUUGUGACACAGACCAGCAUGUAGUAACACUGGUGGAUUGUGUGUGUCCUGAUUGAACAGGUUACACCUGAUUGUGACACAGGCCAGCAUGUACAUGUACUAUUCACACACCUCAUUACAUUCCCAUCUUAUGAACCAUGAGAUAGCAGUAACCUUUUCUGCCCAGAAUGUUUGAGAAGACCCACAUGGUAUUGUGCAACUUCAAAACACA